GGAGCGCAUAUCGAAAUCUACUGAACAGAUGGUAACACCAUGGGCAUUUAGGUAUACACCAACAUUACGGGAGAAAUAUAUCUGCUCCAUCUUAGGGGCUGAAGUCAUUUUAAGAACACGAAAGAGCAACAUUGACAAGAAUUGAAGCCGGAAUGAAACGAGGAAAGGAGAACUUUUGCGGCAGUGAAGGUUUCCGUUCAGUGCUAUUUAAAACGUG